CAGCUCCUUGCCUUCCCUUCACAGCUGUCAAUCAGGUGUCAACUUCCUGGCUAUAGGAGUAAGAGAGCAGCCUCAGGGCGGGCAGACCCCCCUGGAGGUUGGAGUCUCACCUCGUGCCUUGGUCCAAUUUGGCGGAGACCUUUUCUUACUCCCUUCCCGGUAUUUUGUCCUGCUGAAGAGCUCGAACACAACGAUCUGAUUACACAGAAUCCCAAGGAGAGAAGAAUUUGGAAUUUCAAAUUUUAAAAAGGAUAAUUUCAGAAGGAGCUGGAAAGACCUCCAUGAACUGAUGCAGAGUGAAAUGAGCAGAACCAGGAGAACAUGGUACAAAGUAACUGAAAUAUUGUGGAACGAUCAAAUGGGAUAGACUUGGCUUCUAACAGCAAUGCAACGACCCAGGACAAUUCUGAGGGACUUAGGACAAAGAAAGCUAUGCACCUCCAGAGAAAGAACUGUGGGAGUACAAAUGCAGAUGAAAACAUGAUUUAUUACUUGUUUAUUUGGAUAUGUGAUUUGGGUUUUGGUUUAAUAAGAUUAUUUAUUUAUAAAAGUGAAUAAUAUGGAAAUAUGUUUUGCUUGAUAACACAUGUAUAACCGAGUCUGAAUUGCUUGUCAGCACCAGGAGGUGGGAAGGAAGGAAGGAAGGAAACAACAUGGAUCAUAUAAGUUUGGAAAAUUUAUGUGAAAAUAUGUUAU